AUUACCGCACUCAGAUUAAUUGAGAGCUAAGGGAUAAGGAGGGGGAAGAGGGAGAGGAUGAGAAGAAUUAAGAGAUCGUUUAAAAAAAUAGUUUCUCAAACUGCUCAUUAUAAAAGCGUUGAAAUUUAUAAUGCAAUGUUUAAACAACUGUAUCCUAUAUGGCGGGCACGAGUUUAACAUGAUUUGGCUUGUGAAACUUGUCGGCAGCGGCGUAGCGAAACAUCGGACAGAUAUGAUUACGUGGGAAAUGGAAUGGACAACGGUCGGCCGGAAAUGAAAGGAAACAUCUUAGAUAAUCGAGAUAUCAAUAAAGGAAGUAAGGACUCACAAUCUCGUGCAUGAAAUCGUACGAUUGGAUUACUAUUGGUAAUAAUGACGUAAAUAGUAAGGCCUUUUUUUUUUUUAAGAGGGGGAAUGCGUUACGCAUACCGGAUGCCUCGGGGAAAGCCACUCCGGUUAUGUGGGACUCUCUCCACAUCCCUAAAGGGACAAGGAGCCUACCCACUAAACCCCCUCUGGUUCCCUCGACUCACUGUUUACCGGGGUGUGGGCACAUGUGAAUACUCUUCGCACACAUAAAUAGCUAUAAGAAAUGCAGUUCACUGGCUGCAGCGAUCUGAUAGUGUGGUCUAGAUGGCAGCACACGCGCAACGCGUUACAUAACCUCAUCGUUUGCGGACGAAGAUGGACAUUGCGAAAUAUUAGUAGAAAUUUAGCCUGAAGGUCGCCGUGGCGCAAGUCUGCAUCGGUGUAUUGACAAUUGGGACAUGUCUGUACAACACCAAUAGCAAUGGAAUUCAAUGUUUGUUUAUACUACGAAAUAUGAAACAAUAACAAUAAUUUACUAAUAGAGUAAGAAAUAUCUUGUGUGAUGCUGAUAGUCAAAGAAUAGGAUUAGUAGAAAAGGCUGGAAGUAUCUGCAGGUUGUUGUGUAAACAAAGGGA